ensembl:lncRNA
CUUCUUCACUGAGUGGACAUGGGGGCUUCAUACGGUCACAGAAUCACUAACACUGGAAGAGACUGCUAAAGAUCAUCUCGUGCAACCACAACCCAUCCCCACCAUGUUCACUGACCGCGUCCCUCAGUGCCGCAUCUCCACAUUUCCUGAGCACCUCCAGGGUCGGUGACUCCACCACCUCCCUGGGCAGCCUGUGCCAGUGCCUCACCACUCUUUCUGACAAGAAAUGAUUCCUAAUAUCCAACCUCACUUCUGAGGAAACAUGGGGAACUUCACAGAGGGGACGUGGAUGUCUCAUUUUUGGGGAGACAUGGGAGCUUCACUGUGGGAACUUUGAGGUUUCACCUCUGAGGGGACACAGGAGCAUCACAGAGCUUUACUGAAAGAAGAAUAUGCAGCAUGCUAAAGGCAAUCUUGGUUUCCACUAUAUCACUGUGCAUCUGUAGAGCCCUGAAGAUGCAGUUCAUCUGCAAACACAGUGGCAAUUUCAGAGUAAUCGAGAGCCACCUUGUGGAGCUGGGAUUCAUGAAGGGGCUCUGAAUAACACUGCUGGGAACAGCUGUUCACGAUGAGGAAUCCAAACCUAACAGGAUGCUGGAGGCUGCUAAUCAAGUUAACUGAAAACAUUCCAUGUUGGCUAUAGAGGCUUAAAAAUGCUGAGUUCUACUUCCCUCUCCACGCUACCUGCCUGCAGCACCUCUUCAACUCAUAGCACUUUACUGCGACUGGAGCUGAUCUCCAAAGUGGGAGAAGCCCUGCAAAGUUCAACCCAGAUGGGCGAACCCAUCUGAUCAGCAUUUCCAUCUCUGGAGGAGGGGAAGCGGGGAGAGGAGAUAAGGCAGAGGUAGAUACAUGAGGGUUUGAAUAAAUGAG